UACGUAGGGGGCAAGCGUUGUCCGGAUUUAUUGGGCGUAAAGAGCGUGUAGGCGGCCAUACAGGUCAGCUGUGAAAACUCGAGGCUCAACCUCGAGACGUCGGUUGAAACCGUAUGGCUAGAGUCCGGAAGAGGAGAGUGGAAUUCCCGGUGUAGCGGUGAAAUGCGCAGAUAUCGUAAGGAAGACCAGUGGCGAAGGCGGGUCUCUGGACAGUUCCUGACGCUGAGGCACGAAGGUCAGGGGAGCAAACGGG
rnacentral:rRNA from 1 species